rnacentral:rRNA from 1 species
GACGAACGCUGGCGGCGUGCUUAACACAUGCAAGUCGAACGUGAUUUUUGUGGAAAUUCUUUCGGGAAUGGAAAUGAAAUGAAAGUGGCGAACGGGUGAGUAACACGUUAGCAACCUACCUUACACAGGGGGAUAGCCGUUGGAAACGACGAUUAAUACCGCAUGAGACCACAGAAUCGCAUGAUAUAGGGGUCAAAGAUUUAUCGGUGUAAGAAGGGCUCGCGUCUGAUUAGCUAGUUGGAAGGGUAAAGGCCUACCAAGGCGACGAUCAGUAGCCGGUCUGAGAGGAUGAACGGCCACAUUGGAACUGAGACACGGUCCAAACUCCUACGGGAGGCAGCAGUGGGGAAUAUUGCACAAUGGGGGGAACCCUGAUGCAGCGACGCCGCGUGAGCGAAGAAGGUUUUCGAAUCGUAAAGCUCUGUCCUAUGAGAAGAUAAUGACGGUAUCAUAGGAGGAAGCCCCGGCUAAAUACGUG